GAUGAACGCUGGCGGCGUGCUUAACACAUGCAAGUCGAACGGGAAUUACUUUAUUGAAACUUCGGUCGAUUUAAUUUAAUUCUAGUGGCGGACGGGUGAGUAACGCGUGGGUAACCUGCCUUAUACAGGGGGAUAACAGUCAGAAAUGACUGCUAAUACCGCAUAAGCGCACGGAACCGCAUGGUUCUGUGUGAAAAACUCCGGUGGUAUAAGAUGGACCCGCGUUGGAUUAGCUUGUUGGCAGGGUAACGGCCUACCAAGGCGACGAUCCAUAGCCGGCCUGAGAGGGUGAACGGCCACAUUGGGACUGAGACACGGCCCAG
rnacentral:rRNA from 1 species